rnacentral:tRNA from 1 species
GCCAGCAUGACACAGUGGUUUGAGUGUUGGACUACGACUCUGGAGACCAAGGUUCGAUUCCCAGGUUGACC